rnacentral:rRNA from 1 species
ACCGGGAGAUAGCUGGUUCUCCCCGAAAGCUAUUUAGGUAGCGCCUCGUGAAUUCAUCUCCGGGGGUAGAGCACUGUUUCGGCAAGGGGGUCAUCCCGACUUACCAACCCGAUGCAAACUGCGAAUACCGGAGAAUGUUAUCACGGGAGACACACGGCGGGUGCUAACGUCCGUCGUGAAGAGGGAAACAACCCAGACCGCCAGCUAAGGUCCCAAAGUCAUGGUUAAGUGGGAAACGAUGUGGGAAGGCCCAGACAGCCAGGAUGUUGGCUUAGAAGCAGCCAUCAUUUAAAGAAAGCGUAAUAGCUCACUGGUCGAGUCGGCCUGCGCGGAAGAUGUAACGGGGCUAAACCAUGCAC